rnacentral:rRNA from 1 species
UACGUAGGGACCGAGCGUUGUCCGGAAUCAUUGGGCGUAAAGAGCGUGUAGGCGGCUGACCAAGUCCUGCGUGAAAUCUUGCGGCUCAACCGCAAGCGGUCGUGGGAAACUGGUCGGCUAGAGUGCGGGAGAGGAGAGUGGAAUUCCUGGUGUAGCGGUGAAAUGCGCAGAUAUCAGGAGGAACACCGAUGGCGAAGGCAGGUCACUGGCCGCAACUGACGCUGAGGAGCGAAAGCAUGGGGAGCGAACAGG